rnacentral:rRNA from 1 species
AGCGAACGCUGGCGGCAGGCUUAACACAUGCAAGUCGAACGGGCAUAGCAAUAUGUCAGUGGCAGACGGGUGAGUAACGCGUGGGAACGUACCUUUUGGUUCGGAACAACACAGGGAAACUUGUGCUAAUACCGGAUAAGCCCUUACGGGGAAAGAUUUAUCGCCGAAAGAUCGGCCCGCGUCUGAUUAGCUAGUUGGUAGGGUAAUGGCCUACAAAGGCGACGAUCAGUAGCUGGUCUGAGAGGAUGAUCAGCCACAUUGGGACUGAGACACGGCCCAAACUCCUACGGGAGGCAGCAGUGGGGAAUAUUGGACAAUGGGCGAAAGCCUGAUCCAGCCAUGCCGCGUGAGUGAUGAAGGCCCUAGGGUUGUAAAGCUCUUUUGUGCGGGAAGAUAAUGACGGUACCGCAAGAAUAAGCCCCGGCUAACUUCGUG